rnacentral:rRNA from 1 species
AGAGUUUGAUCAUGGCUCAGGAUGAACGCUAGCGACAGGCCUAACACAUACAAGUCGAGGGGCAGCGGAGAGGUAGCAAUACCUUUGCCGGCGACCGGCGCACGGGUGAGUAACACGUAUGCAAUCCACCUGUAACAGGGGGAUAACCCGGAGAAAUCCGGACUAAUACCCCAUAAUAUGGGCGCUCCGCAUGGAGAGCCAAUUAAAGAGAGCAACUUUGGUUACAGACGAGCAUGCGCUCCAUUAG